rnacentral:pre_miRNA from 1 species
CGAAAACGCGAGAUGUAACAGACUGUAUUCACGGCGUGAAACAGGGGAUUACACUAUUUUUAAACGGAAAGUGAAUCAAUUAACAUAAUAGACUCCU